rnacentral:rRNA from 1 species
UGGUGGAGUGAUUUGUCUGGUUAAUUCCGUUAACGAACGAGACCUCGACCUACUAAAUAGUUCGACGUAAGCUCUGCUUAUGUACGUGACUUCUUAGAGGGACUGUCGGUUUUUAGCCGAAGGAAGUUCGAGGCAAUAACA